rnacentral:rRNA from 1 species
AUUGAACGCUGGCGGCAGGCCUAACACAUGCAAGUCGAGCGGAGCGACGGACGGGGGAGUAAGGCCUAGGAAUCUGCCUGGUAGUGGGGGAUAACGUCCGGAAACGGGCGCUAAUACCGUAUACUAUUAGAUGAGCCUUGGUCGGAUUAGCUAGUUUGUGGGGUAAAGGCCUACCAAGGCGACGAUCCGUAACUGGUCUGAGAGGAUGAUCAGUCAAACUGGAAGUGAGACACGCUCCAGACUCCUACGGGAGGCAGCAGUGGGGAUUAUUUGAAAAUGGGCGAACGCCUGAGCAAGCAAUGCCGGGUGUGUGAAGAAGGUUUUCGGAUUGUAAAGCAUUUUAAGUUGGGAGACGUUACCAACAGAAUAAGCACCGGCUAACUUCGUGCCAGCAGCCGCGGUAAUA